rnacentral:rRNA from 1 species
AUUGAACGCUGGCGGCAGGCUUAACACAUGCAAGUCGAGCGGAGAGAGGUAGCUUGCUACUGAUCUUAGCGGCGGACGGGUGAGUAAUGCUUAGGAAUCUGCCUAUUAGUGGGGGACAACAUUUCGAAAGGAAUGCUAAUACCGCAUACGUCCUACGGGAGAAAGCAGGGGAUCUUCGGACCUUGCGCUAAUAGAUGAGCCUAAGUCGGAUUAGCUAGUUGGUGGGGUAAAGGCCUACCAAGGCGACGAUCUGUAGCGGGUCUGAGAGGAUGAUCCGCCACCCUGGGACUGAGACACGGCCCAGACUCCUACGGGAGGCAGCAGUGGGGAAUAUUGGACAAUGGGCGCAAGCCUGACCCAGCCAUGCCGCGUGUGUGAAGAAGGCCUUAUGGUUGUAAAGCACUUUAAGCGAGGAGGAGGCUACUUUAGAUAAUACCUAGAGAUAGUGGACGUUACUCGCAGAAUAAGCACCGGCUAACUCUGUGCCAGCAGCCGCAGUAACAC